GUCACAGGCGGAUUCCUCAGCUCUCGUCGCGCACAUUUUUCUGCCAAAAAGUGCUUGCAGUGCUCCACGUCACCAAGGGCGCCCGAGGCGAACGUCACCGAGCUAGCAAGACAGUGAGCCUCCAGGGAACACGAAACACUCCGCUGGUUCCUGGGAGCCACCGGGGCUCGCAUCGUCGAGAUGCUGUCACUGGCAGCGACUCUGGGGACAGCGAGACCGCACCUCGGCGACAUGCCCGCAUCUCUGUAGCUGCCGGAUGCGACUCGAUAACGCCGCCGCCCUGACCCGCCGUCACGCGCUAUCCGGCCAACUCAGGAAACGGGCGCAGAACGGCAGCCACGGCGCAGCGGAGUGCCAACGACGGCCUCCUCCGGCACGCGGCAGCUUCUCGCCUUCCGCGAACACGGCACGACGCUCUCUCUCUCUCUCUCUCCUUCUCUCCCUCUUCCGUCGGUAAUUAACGGCGCUACCGGCCACCGCCACGGCCGGACAAGAGAAAAAGGGCGAAUAGCGCAAGCGUGCAACCAAUGACGCCGCCGCCGGCCCAGAAGCCGCGGCGGGCCACGCGUCCUUCACCGGAAACGGAAGCGUCUGUCUCAACACGCAUCGACCGGAUCCAAGUUCCGUUUCCACGUUUCCUUAUCAUUCGACUGUCCAGACUGCUGUUUUCCGAGGCCUGGACGGAGAACUGAUAAGGGCUUGUGGUGACAUUACUCAGCGGUUUGAAGGGGAGAGAGGUGGACCUGCGAGGCGCUCCAGCAAAAUGGCACGUUGCUGCCUGCCAUUUCCCCUCCCCCUCCCCCUUUUGUUCUUCCCUCCCCUAACUUCCUCACCAUGCUUCUCGUCCUCUCCUCCGUCCUGGUUCCCAGAGGGCGACAUUGGCCACUCUCCACUCGUCCAAUCUGCUUUCUUUGCGGAGUCGUUUAGAGCAUGUUCCCUUUGUUCACAAAAUGCCCGUUGAUUACAGAGCCUCCCCUCCCCACUACCUUCUCCCCACCCCCUCUUUUGUCUCUUAUCGCCACCUCGCGCGGCAGCGACGGCUAACGCCCCAGGGCUCCAGCCAGAUUUUUCAGCCACGACGAAAUCAAUGACGCCGGCGUCCGACAAAAACUUGAGAGCGCCGAUUAAACUUUGGCUGCCGGUCUGUCGUUAUCUGGCUCUGGGAGAGAAAAAUAUGACCGCAGUGGCUGUAAUAGUGAGGAUGGAAACAACGUUGUAAACCAUUUUACGGCUUUAGUAAUGGCCAAGGUAUGUUAACGGCAUGACUGAAAGGUGAAGUAUCGCGCCCGUCAGGAGGUUUUAUUUGUUUCCACAAGCAAGGAGGUACAUGGUUGUGGCGGAAAAACAAGAGGAAAAAAGCUGCGGAGGAAGUAGCUUUACUGGCCCCAGAUGCUAUAUAGAGUCACGUUUCUCGUUCCGUAGCCCAGGGGAAGCACACCAAAGGGAGGCCCUUGCGAUAAGGGCGUUAGAAGGAGUCGACAUGUGCGCUCGCAUAAACUUUUCGCUGCCGUAACCUUGAUAUCAGGAUGUAGAAAGCAUAGUUCAGUUAGUCACGGUUCGACGAAGAGACGAGUCGAGGGAAGAGGACAGAAAUACACAAAUCGAGCGUUAGUAGUGCGCCUCCCUACCAUCGGAGGCUAACUCUGUAGCGAUAGCAAGCGCUACCACGAGAACAUUGGAUGCCAGAGUGCCACAUGUCGAUUAUGGCACGCGCCUCCCUAGCGUAGCAACUUGUGCAAUGACGCAAAACUCGGCACUGCACAACUAUUUAUGGUCCUUGCAGGAUAGAGCCCACACUAUCACGCAUUCUGCCGGAAUUUGGUGGUACGGAGCAGUUUUAUACAUUAUAUUUACGCCGCAUUAUCAGUUAAAGUAACCCGCGUAAAGCUUACGUUGCGGCUUGAAAGCUUACAAUUGUAAGCGCUAACGUGACGCCGAAUACACGUCCCCUGUCGCCGCAGGUCUGCGACUGCAGCUGCAAAAAUUUCUUGUCGCUGUCACUCUUGCGUCGAAGCAACACGAUACUAAGGAUUCAAUGCCCACAUGACAGUCGAAACCAAAGCUUUCUGGCGUGACUGGUAAAACAGCUUGCGCACUUAGGCGACCCUGUAAUGUUAACUGGAAACUGCAGUUAUGGCGCUCAUUCCCGCCGCAUUGCUCUCAGACCGCGUCUAUAAGCAAGAUCUACUUCACUUCCUACACA